AACGAACGCUGGCGGCAUGCCUAACACAUGCAAGUCGAACGAGACCUUCGGGUCUAGUGGCGCACGGGUGCGUAACGCGUGGGAACCUGCCCUUAGGUUCGGAAUAACUCCCCGAAAGGGGUGCUAAUACCGGAUAAUGUCUUCGGACCAAAGAUUUAUCGCCUUUGGAUGGGCCCGCGUUGGAUUAGUUAGAUGGUAGGGUAAAAGCCUACCAAGGCGACGAUCCAUAGCUGGUCUGAGAGGAUGAUCAGCCACACUGGGACUGAGACACGGCCCAGACUCCUACGGAAGGCGGCGUUGGGAAUUAUUGAACAGGGGGCGAAGUCCUGCCCCACCAUUGCCGGGGGAGUUAUGAAGCCUUGGGGGUUUUAAUCCUUUUUCCCCCGAGAUGUUAGUGAAGGUCCCGAAAAAAAAACCCCCGGCUACCCCCGUC
rnacentral:rRNA from 1 species